rnacentral:misc_RNA from 1 species
UUCUCCUCAUUGCCUGCGCGGUGGAGUAGUGAAGGUCGAAGGGACAGCGGAUAGCGCAUUUCUGGGUGCAGAGUACUGUCGCCUACCGCCUCGCUUGUAUCUCCGUCUUUCAUAACUCGCAUCUCCUAAGCUCCUCGGAGCUACGGCGCUCGCAAUGUCCGCAAACUUGUCUCACGACGCGUUCACCUCCGGGGCCGAGCUGGGCAACACUGUCCGCGAGACCCGAGUCGCCCAGGGAUCGCAGAAAGGAAAAGUGAUCGCCGUUUUCACCAGCGGCGGUGACUCGCAAGGCAUGAAUGCGGCCGUGCGCGCCGUGGUGCGCAUGGGCCUCUAUCUGGGUGCCAAAGUGUACUUCAUUCGGGAGGGCUACCAGGGCAUGGUCGAUGGCGGCGACUUCAUUCAAGAGGCCACCUGGGUCAGCGUCUCGGGCAUUAUCCACAAGGGUGGCACAGUGAUCGGCAGUGCCCGAUGCAAGGAAUUUCGUGAACGUCCGGGCCGCCUGAAGGCCGCCAAAAACUUGGUCCAGCACAGGAUCACAAACCUCGUUGUGAUUGGCGGUGACGGUUCCUUGACUGGAGCUAACCUGUUCCGCCAAGAGUGGUCUUCCCUGCUCGAUGAGCUGCUCCAGAAUGGCAAUAUCACCCAGGAUCAGAGGACCAGUUGCAGUCACCUCAACAUUGUGGGCAUGGUUGGUUCUAUCGACAAUGAUUUCUGCGGCACCGACAUGACGAUUGGAACUGACUCAGCGCUCCAUCGCAUCAUGGAAUCCGUCGAUGCUAUUUCCACCACUGCAUCGAGCCAUCAGAGGACCUUCAUCCUUGAAGUAAUGGGAAGACACUGUGGGUACCUGGCUGUUGUGGCUGCCUUGGCCAGUGAAGCCGACUUUGUGUUCUAUCCCGAGUGCCCACCAGACAGUGAUUGGCCUAAUAUCCUCUGCAGCAAGCUGCUUCAGGAGAGAGAACACGGCCAGAGACUGAACAUCAUCAUCCUGGCUGAAGGUGCGCAAGAUAGGGAUGGGAACCCCAUCACGGCUGAGAUGGUCAGGAAGGUGGUAGUUGAUAAUCUGAAGCAGGACACUCGCAUCACAGUCCUGGGCCACGUCCAAAGAGGAGGGAGCCCAUCUGCUUUUGACAGAAUCUUGGGCUGCCGAAUGGGUGCAGAGGCUGUCCUGGCCCUGUUCGAGGCUACACCAGACUCUGAGGCUUGUGUCGUGUCCCUGGAUGGCAAUCAAGCCGUGCGAGUGCCACUUAUGCAGUGUGUAGAGAAGACUCAAGCUGUUGCCAAGUGCAUGGCCAACAAGGAGUGGCAGAAGGCAGUGCAGUUGCGGGGCAGGAGCUUUGAGCGGAAUGUUCAGACGUAUCGCAUGCUGACAAGGCUGAAUCCCCCAAAGUCUGCCAUGAACAAGCCUAGCUCGGAGGGCUAUCGGAUGGGGGUGAUGCACGUUGGCGCUCCGUGCUGUGGCAUGAAUGCAGCUGUCCGGUCAUUCGUCCGGAACUGCUUGACCCGUGGAGAUAGUGUUUAUGGAAUCCACGACGGUAUUGAAGGCCUUGUUGAGGGCAACAUCCAGCCCAUGGCUUGGAAUGACGUCGGCGGCUGGGUUGGCCAAGGCGGCGCCUUCCUUGGAACAAAGCGGACACUUCCAGGGGAAAUAAUGGAGCAAGUUGUGGCCAAGCUAAAGGAGUUCAGGAUUCAGGCGCUGCUCAUCAUCGGUGGCUUUGAGGGCUACCAUGCAGUGCUGCAGUUUGCUGAAGCCCGGGAAAGGUACCCUGAGUUGCGCAUCCCCAUGUGUGUGAUCCCCGCCACGAUCAGCAACAAUGUCCCAGGCACGGAGUUCUCCCUGGGUGCUGACACUGCGCUUAACGAGAUCACCGAGAUUUGCGACCGGAUCCGCCAGUCGGCUCAGGGAACCAAGAGGCGCGUGUUUGUCGUGGAGACCAUGGGUGGCUACUGUGGUUACCUGGCAACACUGGCAGGGUUAGCUGGAGGUGCCGACGCAGCGUACAUCUUUGAGGAGAACUUUGGCAUCAAGGACCUUAUGAACGAUGUGCUGCACAUGCAGGUCAAGAUGUCCGAGGGUGUCCAACGAGGUCUCAUCCUCAGAAAUGAAAAAGCCAAUGAAAAUUACACAACAGACUUCAUUCACCGACUGUACAGCGAGGAAGGAAAAGAUGUGUUCACUGCCAGGCAAAACAUUCUGGGUCACAUGCAACAGGGUGGCUCACCGUCGCCGUUUGAUCGCAACUUUGGCACCAAGACGGCCACUCGGGCCUUUGAGUGGCUUGUGCUGCAGGUAAAGGCCAACCUGCAGCCAAAUGGCAUUGUGAACGCCACCACUCCCGAGACCGCAUGCCUGCUGGGUCUCAUCCGACGGCAGUACUACUUCACGCCCGUGCAGGAUCUCAAGUCGCGGACUGACUGGAAAAGCAGCUGCAGGCCACUUGCUAGUCCAGGUUAGAGUCGUAGUUCCUACCGAAGACGGUGGUUGAAGUGCGAAGAGAAAUUUGGCCAGCACAAGAUGUGCACGUCGCCGAGAGAAGCCACCGGAGAGAUGAAGAUUGCAGAGCUCCACACGUUUCCUGCUGCCUGUCUGCAUACAUCGCCUCCCCAAGAACAUGUGGUGGCUUGACCUGCGGCCUAUGCUGAACAUGCUGGCAACUUCUGACCGCUACUUGCGUGAAAUGACCGGAAAGCACCCCCUGCUCGUAGAGCAGUCCAUCUCUGAGGACAUCGAUGAAGUGGCC